rnacentral:rRNA from 1 species
GAUGAACGCUGGCGGCGUGCCUAAUACAUGCAAGUCGAGCGAACGGACGAGAAGCUUGCUUCUCUGAUGUUAGCGGCGGACGGGUGAGUAACACGUGGAUAACCUACCUAUAAGACUGGGAUAACUUCGGGAAACCGGAGCUAAUACCGGAUAAUAUUUUGAACCGCAUGGUUCAAAAGUGAAAGACGGUCUUGCUGUCACUUAUAGAUGGAUCCGCGCUGCAUUAGCUAGUUGGUAAGGUAACGGCUUACCAAGGCAACGAUGCAUAGCCGACCUGAGAGGGUGAUCGGCCACACGGGAACUGAGACACGGUCCAGACUCCUACGGGAGGCAGCAGUAGGGAAUCUUCCGCAAUGGGCGAAAGCCUGACGGAGCAACGCCGCGUGGGUGAUGAAGGUCUUCGGAUCGUAAAACUCUGUUAUUAGGGAAGAACAUAUGUGUAAGUAACUGUGCACAUCUUGACGGUACCUAAUCAGAAAGCCACGGCUAACUACGUG